rnacentral:rRNA from 1 species
AUUGAACGCUGGCGGCAUGCUUUACACAUGCAAGUCGAACGGUAACAGGGAGCUUGCUCCGCUGACGAGUGGCGAACGGGUGAGUAAUGCAUCGGAACGUACCCAGUCGUGGGGGAUAACGUAGCGAAAGUUACGCUAAUACCGCAUACGUCCUGAGGGAGAAAGCGGGGGACCGAAAGGCCUCGCGCGAUUGGAGCGGCCGAUGUCGGAUUAGCUAGUUGGUAGGGUAAAGGCCUACCAAGGCGACGAUCCGUAGCGGGUCUGAGAGGAUGAUCCGCCACACUGGGACUGAGACACGGCCCAGACUCCUACGGGAGGCAGCAGUGGGGAAUUUUGGACAAUGGGCGAAAGCCUGACCCAGCCAUGCCGCGUGAGUGAAGAAGGCCUUCGGGUUGUAAAGCUCUUUCAGCCGGAAAGAAAUCGUAUGGGUUAAUACCCUGUGCGGAUGACGGUACCGGCAUAAGAAGCACCGGCUAACUACGUGCCAGCAGCCGCGGUAACAC